AGGAAGGGCAUUUGGUGGAUGCCUUGGCAUGCACAGGCGAUGAAGGACGUGGCACGCUGCGAUAAGCCACGGGGAGGGGCGAGCACCCUUUGAUCCGUGGAUUUCCGAAUGGGGAAACCCGACCCUUUAGGGUCAUCCUCUGCUGAAUACAUAGGCAGGGGAAGCAAACCCGGUGAACUGAAACAUCUCAGUAACCGGAGGAAAGGACAUCAACCGAGACUCCGUUAGUAGUGGCGAGCGAACGCGGACCAGGCCUGUGAUAUUUCUGUAAGAACUGGAAGCUUCUGGAAAGUUGCGCCGCAGCGGGUGAUAGCCCCGUACAGGUAGAAAUCAGAUUUAUCCUCGAGUAGGGCGGGACACGUGAAAUCCUGUCUGAACAUGGGGGGACCAUCCUCCAAGCCUAAGUACUCCUUAUCGACCGAUAGUGAACAAGUACCGUGAGGGAAAGGUGAAAAGCACCCCAACGAGGGGAGUGAAACAGACCCUGAAACCGGACGCCUACAAACAGUCGGAGCCUCCUUGAGAGGUGACGGCGUACCUUUUGUAUAAUGGGUCAGCGAGUUACUUUUACUGGCAAGGUUAACCGUAUAGGGGAGCCGUAGGGAAACCGAGUCUUAAUAGGGC
rnacentral:rRNA from 14 species